GACGAACGCUGGCGGCGUGCUUAACACAUGCAAGUCGAACGAUGAACCCGGAGCUUGCUCCGGUGGAUUAGUGGCGAACGGGUGAGUAACACGUGAGUAACCUGCCCUUGACUCUGGGAUAACUGCGGGAAACUGUAGCUAAUACCGGAUACGACCCUCGGCGGCAUCGCCAGGGGGUGGAAAGAAUUUCGGUCAAGGAUGGACUCGCGGCCUAUCAGCUAGUUGGUGAGGUGACGGCUCACCAAGGCGACGACGGGUAGCCGGCCUGAGAGGGUGAGCGGCCAGACUGGGGCUGGGACACGGCACGGACUCCUACGGGAGGCAGCAGUGGGGAAUAUUGCACAGUGGGCGCAAGGCUGAUGCAGCAACGCCGCGUGAGGGAUGACGGCCUUCGGGUUGUAAACCUCUUUUAGUAGGGAAGAAGCGAAAGUGACGGUACCUGCAGAAAAAGCACCGGCUAACUACGUGCCAGCCGCCGCCGUAA
rnacentral:rRNA from 1 species